rnacentral:rRNA from 1 species
GACGAACGCUGGCGGCGUGCCUAAUACAUGCAAGUCGAACGCAGUGGGGACGGGUGAGUAACACGUGGGUAACCUCCCAUCAGAGGGGAUAACACUUGGAAACAGGUGCUAAACCGCUACUGAUGGAUGGACCCGCGGUGCAUUAGCUAGUUGGGUAGGUAACGGCUCACCAAGGCCACGAUGCAUAGCCGGCCUGAGAGGGUGAAUGGCCACACUGGGAAUGAGACAAGGCCCAGACUCCUACGGGAGGGAGUAGUGGGGAAUGUUUCGCAAUUGACGAAAGUCUGACCGAGCAACGCCGCGUGAGGGAAGAAGGUUUUCGGAUCGUAAAACUCUGUUGUUAGAGAAGCGGUAUCUAACCAGAAAGCCAAGGCUAACUACGUGCCAGCAGCCGCGGUAAUAC